UACGUAGGGGGCAAGCGUUGUCCGGAUUUAUUGGGCGUAAAGAGCGUGUAGGCGGCCAGACAGGUCCGUUGUGAAAACUCGAGGCUCAACCUCGAGAUGUCGAUGGAAACCGUCUGGCUAGAGUCCGGAAGAGGAGUGUGGAAUUCCUGGUGUAGCGGUGAAAUGCGCAGAUAUCAGGAAGAACACCGUAUGGGCGAAGGCAGCUCUCUGGGACGGUACUGACGCUGAGACGCGAAAGCGUGGGGAGCGAACAGG
rnacentral:rRNA from 1 species